CAGUUCGGAUUGUAGUCUGCAACCCGACUACAUGAAGCUGGAAUCGCUAGUAAUCGCGCAUCAGCCAUGGCGCGGUGAAUACGUUCCCGGGCCUUGUACACACCGCCCGUCAAGCCAUGAAAGCCGGGGGUACCUGAAGUACGUAACCGCAAGGAGCGUCCUAGGGUAAAACUGGUAAUUGGGGCUAAGUCGUAACAAGGUACC
rnacentral:rRNA from 1 species